GUCCAGGGUCAUGCUACCCUGAACGUGCCCAAUCUCAUCUGAUCUCGGAAGCUAAGCAAGGUUGGGCCUGGUUAGUACUUGGACAGAAGACCACCUAGGAAUACCAGGUGCUGUAGGCA
ensembl:rRNA 5S_rRNA 5S ribosomal RNA